rnacentral:rRNA from 1 species
GACGAACCACACGAACGUUAUUCGGAUUUACUGGGCGUAAAGGGCGCGUAGGCGGCUUAACAAGUCACUUGUGAAAUCUCCGGGCUUAACUCGGAACGGCCAAGUGAAACUGUCAAGCUAGAGUGCAGAAGGGGCAAUCGGAAUUCUUGGUGUAGCGGUGAAAUGCGUAGAUAUCAAGAGGAACACCUGAGGUGAAGACGGGUUGCUGGGCUGACACUGACGCUGAGGCGCGAAAGCCAGGGGAGCAAACGGG